rnacentral:tRNA from 1 species
GGGUUUUAGCUCAGUUGGGAGAGCGCCUGGUUCGCAAUCAGGAGGUCGAGGGUUCGAAUCCCUUAAGCUCC